GCUUCCCUGUCAAUUUGUGGCAGCGCUCCGAUGUAAAUUGGAGUGUAAAACCAGGCUAAUUCGGGGAAAGUCGAAAGAACAAUCCCGAGCUAAAUCACGAAAGUGUAAAUGUGUAGAGACUAUAUACCUGGCUCCUUUUAAAGGAUGAUGAGAUAGUCCAAACUUUUUAAAAAUAAAAAG
rnacentral:ncRNA from 1 species